CGGGGGAGCCUGGUGGGCUGCCGUCUAUGGGGUCGCACAGAGUCGGACACGACUGAAGCAACUUAGCAGCAGCAGCAGCAGCAGCAAGACAGCAGAAAUUCCCUUCCAGGAGAGGAGGCAGAGCCUCAGAUGGAAGUCCCAGAUUCUACAACCCAUCAGCUUUCAAAGGGAUUCUGGAGCACUCUCUGGGAAUUUUGGAUGGACAAAAACCAGGAUGAUGUUGGGUCCAGCCUGAGACAGGCUAGAAAGAAGCCUGGAAGCCUGGGCAAAAGACUCUCUCUGAGCUUCAGUUUCCCGGAGUGAAGAGUGAAGGCAUCGCGUGCUAGGGGUGCGUCUGGGAGCCCUUCUGGAUUACUACAUGGAGGGCUGCUUGGAAGAGGCUUCCUUGAAGAGUCUGCAGUAACUUCUGGGACAUGUCCAUCAUGGGACGGGAUGGGCCCAGAGAAUACAUUCCUUUGGAAAGUACACAUGGAAACGUGAGGAUGGACUUAAAGGGCAAA